UACGUAGGGUGCGAGCGUUAAUCGGAAUUACUGGGCGUAAAGCGUGCGCAGGCGGUGAUGUAAGACAGGUGUGAAAUCCCCGGGCUUAACCUGGGAACUGCAUUUGUGACUGCAUCGCUGGAGUGCGGCAGAGGGGGAUGGAAUUCCGCGUGUAGCAGUGAAAUGCGUAGAUAUGCGGAGGAACACCAAUAGCGAAGGCAGCUCGCUGGGACGUACUGACACUGAGGCGCGAAAGCGUGGGGAGCGAACAGGG
rnacentral:rRNA from 1 species